GAGAAGUCAAUGCAACGUAUGCAGCCAUCUCUCUCUGUACUUCUGCAGUAAAGGACCUUCAGAUUAGUGAAUGAAUCAAUUUGGACUAGGGAGACACUUAAAAUGACAGAUAUGGCAAACACUAACAUUGAAUUAUUGUAUCGCAUGCAAUAAAAAUUGACAUUAUUUUGAGAAUUGACGUGAUUCACAUAGUCUCAGUCCAGCAUAUACACACAGAAAAUACAGUAGAUAGAUUCCACCAAUGCAACCUAACACAUGCACAUGCCUAUUAUGGAGUAUAAACUGCAGAUUAAUCGUAUUGAUUAUACCCAAAAUCAGAUCUAAGCAUCUCAGUCCCUCAUUUUAACGCUUACCUUUCUAAUUACUCGGGAUGCCCCAACCAACAACUGGUGCGCUCUUCGCCUCCUCCAUAUAAUAUUUAAAAAAUAAGCUACUUAUCACCAAGCCAAAUCGGAGGAAAAGGUACAAAAUAACCAUUUACAAUCCGAAUAGAAGAACAUGAUCAUACAAAGAUAUUUUGUCUUAUAUUACUUAUCUUUUAGGUCUUAACAUAAAAAUCUCUUCUGAAAUGAUGUUGCUUUUUUAUUAAGGGGUGUGAAUGGGAAAAUGGAAGAGAGCACCUAUUGGACUUCUUUAUCUCACGCUUUCAUCGUUUAUAAAUUUUGAGGCUUGGCCUCAUUUUUAACAAGGAAAAUCUAAAAUCUUAUCCUCUCUUUUCUACAUUGUUGCAUUAUUUUCUAAAUAAACAUAAGUGUCAUUUGUGAUUUGUUCCAUUUGUUGAGUUCGCUGAAGUUGCAGGAGUGGUAUCACUAUUUCUAGUAAAAGGACCGUAGCAGUCAAAAAAUAUUUUGUGGAGGCAAGCGAGUUCAAACACAAGACCUCUCACGUAAGCUAAUAACCACCGGACUACUAAGUUGUUUUGUUGCAAAUCAAAUGGUAUUACUUUUAAUGAUUUUAUCUUGUAUUUCUGUUUUACUAAAAUUCGACGAAGACGUUGCCGGCAUAUAAAUGCGCCCGUCUGUAAUGGGUCAGAUAAGAAUUAUUGAACUACGCCACAAAGCCAUUUCGAUCCGCAUAGACAUAGACAUAGUAAAAGAAGAAUAAAAUCAAACUAAAUACAGAAUCUCCUUCAUGAUGUUACAUUAACCUACAAUAAUUAUGCUCUUUUAAAGAAUAUUAGCAACAAAACACUAGAAAAUGACUUUCUCAUAUCAAACACAGUAUGACAGGAGUGGAGUCAGAGCUCUGAAAACCCAAUAAUUUCAGAACCUGCUAAUUAUAGACGACACAAAUCAAACUCUAAAUAACAACAACAACUAUUAUCCAGUAUAGUCCCACAAAAUGGGGUCUGGAGAGGGUAAUAUGCAGACGAGCAGAGGCUGUUUCCAAUAAAGGGACAAAUCAAACUCUAAAUGAUUAUGUAAAAUAAGAGAAGCACCUUAAUUAAAGCAGAGCUCUCUCUCUUGAAUGCGUUUGCCUCACUAAUGUUAUGAAAGCUUCUUUCUAUGUGAAGAAUAAUGUGAAUGAGAGCAUUGUCUAGUAAUGAUUUUUUUACUUUCCAAGAGAGAGUAAUGAUUUUUUCUUUUUGUUGGUAGGGGCGGAGCUAGCCUUGUAGUUGCGAUUUGGUUGAACUCAUUAGCUUUGGUUCGAUUCUUAUUGAAUAUAUACAAAUUAGUAAUUUAGAACUCAG
rnacentral:lncRNA from 1 species